rnacentral:lncRNA from 1 species
CCUCUUCCCUGUAACUGUAUAAAGUCCAAGGGCACUGAAGGCUGCCUGUAACUGUGCCAUCAUACUGCAAGUGAAAGCCAGUCAGUUCAGAAGAGACACAGAUGAGAUGAGGUUUCUCUGAAGGACACAAGGAAACAUCUUUGACGGUCCAAGACCUUGGAAUGGAUUUUGAGCCUUCAAGAAGGAAUGUGGAGAUGGACAUCACAAGGGCUCCAGAAUCCUCACGGCAAGAGAUGGAGAGGAUCAUGGAUCAGAAGAUGGCUGUGCUGCGGAACCAACUGGAGGUUUCACAGAACAUAGCCCCACCUCUAGAGGAACAGGCCAACACCCAGACUUCCCUCCAGGCCAUCUCAGAAAAGCUACAUAAUCUGCAGGUGUGUCUGAAGAACCUGGAGGUAUCCAGAGAGCAAGACCUUCAGAUCCUCAGAGAAGAGAUGGAAGACAGAAUAACCAAAGCCAAGAAGUCCUGGACCAAGGACUGCCUGAUUGAGAUGGAAAACAAACUAGGUGAGCAGUGCAAUUCCUAAACAAACCUUCAAUUCUAUUGUGCUUAAACCACAGUGGGAAGCUAAAUACUGCAAAUUCUCUCAAUCACUUUCCUCCAAUUGGAUGGAGGAGUGAUGUGGAAAGCUCAAAGUCAGAGAACUCACGGAUUGAGAUAGAGAGAUUUUAAGAGGUAAAAGCUGCAAGCCCAAGCAAUCCCAAGCAAAGCAAAAUGUGGGAUUUAUUCAUUGAUUCUGAAAGGCAGGAAGAGGUUCAACCAUUUCUGGGAAAGCAGGGCUGUGUCACAGGUAACAUUUCCUGGGGAAGACCAAUGCUAUCAUAUGAAUAUCUCCCUUUCCUCCUUUUUAUCUCAGAUUUAUUGCUGAGCAUAGUGUCAUACUGUAGAGAGUAUCCCUUUAGACCACUCAGGUUGGCGUCACAGAUGUUCUCCCUUCCAAUAUCAUGGGCAUCCCCUACCUCCUCACUGGCAGAGCGUGAUGACAAGAAGAG